rnacentral:rRNA from 1 species
UACGUAGGGUGCAAGCGUUGUCCGGAAUUAUUGGGCGUAAAGAGCUCGUAGGCGGUUCGUCGCGUCGGCUGUGAAAUCCCGAGGCUCAACCUCGGGUCUGCAGUCGAUACGGGCGGACUGGAGUUCGGCAGGGGAGACUGGAAUUCCUGGUGUAGCGGUGAAAUGCGCAGAUAUCAGGAGGAACACCAAUAGCGAAGGCAGCUCGCUGGGACGGUACUGACGCUAAGGCGCGAAAGCGUGGGGAGCGAACAGG